rnacentral:rRNA from 1 species
CCUUGUACACACUGCCCGUCACACCACGAAAGUUGGUAACACCCGAAGCCAGUGGCCCAACCCUCGGGAGGGAGCUGUCGAAGGUGGGAUCAGCGAUUGGGGUG